rnacentral:rRNA from 1 species
GGAUUAGAUACCCUGGUAGUCCACGCCGUAAACGAUGUCUACUAGUUGUUGGGAGACUUGAUCUCUUAGUAACGAAGCUAACGCAUUAAAUAGACCGCCUGGGGAGUACGGCCGCAAGGUUAAAACUCAAAUGAAUUGACGGGGGCCCGCACAAGCGGUGGAGCAUGUGGUUUAAUUCGAAGCAACGCGAAGAACCUUACCUACACUUGACAUCCAGAGAACUUGCUAGAGAUAGCUUGGUGCCUUCGGGAGCUCUGAGACAGGUGCUGCAUGGCUGUCGUCAGCUCGUGUUG